UCAAACUUGGUCAUUUAGAGGAAGUAAAAGUCGUAACAAGGUCUCCGUUGGUGAACCAGCGGAGGGAUCAUUACCGAGUUUACAACUCCCAAACCCCUGUGAACAUACCCCCCAACGUUGCCUCGGCGGGAGGCCCCGGGGGGCGCUCCGGCGCCCUCCCGGACCCCAAGGCCGCCCGCCGGAGGACCGCAAAACUCUGUUUUCCACACCAGUAUCUCCUCUGAGUACCCGGGCGAAGGCCCAAAAUCAAAUCAAAACUUUCAACAACGGAUCUCUUGGCUCUGGCAUCGAUGAAGAACGCAGC
rnacentral:misc_RNA from 1 species